AUCUUGCGCAAUGGCCGAAAGGCUGACGCAGCGACGCCGCGUGGAGGAUGACGCCCUUCGGGGUGUAAACUCCUGUUGCCCGGGACGAACGCCCGUUUUCGAGCGGGGUGACGGUACCGGGUGAGGAAGCACCGGCUAACUCUGUGCCAGCAGCCGCGGUAAUACAGAGGGUGCGAGCGUUGUCCGGAAUCACUGGGCGUAAAGGGCGCGUAGGCGGCUCCGUAAGCGGGUGGUGAAAGCCCGGGGCUCAACCCCGGGUCGGCCAUGCGAACUGGGGAGCUGGAGCACGGUAGAGGCACAUGGAAUUCCGGGUGUAGCGGUGGAAUGCGUAGAGAUCCGGAAGAACACCGGUGGCGAAGGCGGUGUGCUGGGCCGUGGCUGACGCUGAGGCGCGACAGCGUGGGGAGCAAACAGG
rnacentral:rRNA from 1 species